rnacentral:lncRNA from 12 species
UGAGAAGUGACCCCUUGAUGGCUCUUCUUUGCCACAGUUCUGCAUGGAUGCUCAAAGAGGUUGCUUCUUUCUCCAUCUCUGUGAUGAUCUCAGGCUGUGGCUUCCAAUAUAUUUUUCUUACCAGCUUUCAGAAAAGCCGUAUUAGGGCAUCAAAUGAGGUGGUGGCUAGAUAUUUUAUCCUUGGUUCCUUCUAUUCACUACCUGUUUAAGCACUCCAAUUCUGGGUGAUCCUAAGUAUAGGCAUAGCUCAUCUGGCUGCAGACUCUGACUAUUCAAAGGGUGUCAUGCUGAGUCAUGACCUUAAAGCACUUGAGACCCCCCACAACUCAUCUUUCAAAAAACAUUCUCUCCCCAACCACUUCCCCCACCCUCAUUCCACCCUUUACUUCUGCAAUUGUGGACAAAGAAUCUGCAAAAGCUCCUGACUUCUCCCUCUCCCUUUGCUUCCCCCUCUCUUCCUAUCUGGGUUGGCCAGAAAGAAGACUGGCUAUGUAGGACCCUAUCUGUGCAAAAGCAGUCCCCAAGAGUUUGUGAGUACGAAGAUUGCUCCUGUGUCUGAAUCUGCACUGUUCAAGAGGACUCAGGAUACUUUUCUUUUCUGUCCACUAGGGGGCUGCUUGUAGGGGGAUGGAAAAAACGAAGGCUUAAAAAAAAAAUAUCAUGCUGCUGAAAUUUCAGCAAGAGGGGAAAAGAGAGAGCGCGUGAGAGAGAGACAGCAAAGCAGUCCCAGGCUUCCUUGUCUCUCACGUCAGAGGCAGGAACCUACUGUGCUAAGGCUGUUGGCUCAACACGCAGAGACGGAGAAAGGCACAGACACAGAAAACGAGAAAAGAGGGGUCCCCCCUGACCCAAGGAAUUACCACCAGUGGAGUAAAGCCACCUGACUUUUUAAUCUUAUUUUUGUUGCCUCCUCUUUCUCCUUCCACUCUAGCCCUGUCAGCUUGGGUUUCAUUUCUUUCGUGGAGCCUCCUCUCUUCCUCCCAGAAAAGGAGGAAGGGAAGAAAAGGGAGAGAGGUGGGUUCUCUAGGUGAGCGCAUCAGCUGGUUCCAGCCGCACAGACAAGAAUUCUCUUCGCAGGAAGCUCCUCUCGCUCCCCUGCCGCCCACCCUCAGCCGGGAACUACAUAGAGAGAUACCCACUAAACAUCAGCCAGAGGCUCCCAGAAGAGUGAAUACUUCUGAAGAAUUGUUUGUUUGAGCACUAAGGAGGAGCAGACAGGAGGCAAGGAAAAGGUGAGACUUUAAAAAAUCACAUCGCACCUGAAACUAACAGGAUUUUUUUUUUUUUCAAUCUGGAAGACUAAGCACAGAGAGGAAGAGAAGCUGGGCUCUCCUCAGGACUUCAGCCCUGAGCUGGGACCUUGAGGGAGUCACUUACCUCAAUGAACUUCAAUUGCCUCAUCUGUAGCACAUGUGAGGCUCUACACUGAUUGAUGGUUAAUAGCAAAGUGAAACAGUGAUGUGAAGGGCAACAGUGAUCAACCCUUAGGAAAGUGCUGCCCAGGUGAGUGAUGGGGAGAGAGUGAGCACGAAGACUAUCUCAUGCAGCCUCACCAGGGAAAGUGAGAGCACCACCAGCUCCUCCAGGCAGGCAUCCUCAGGUUCCUGCGGGGGUGCAGUUCCCUACGUGGAGGGAGUGUCAUCCAUUGGGUGCCAUCAAUAAUCACGCCGAUGAAAUACACACACUGGCCCUAGCCCAGACAGCCUGAGAUAUGGGAACUCCUUAGCUAUCUAUCACUGCAAACCAGGGAAGGGAAAUCCUUGCUGCCUUGAGUCAGAGAGGUGUGGUGAGCCCGGAGGGAAGUCCUACUCCAGCAGGUGUUUUGGAACAGAGGAGGGCUGAGACCAUCUCUGCAAGCUGAG